UGAUAUUUAAAAUUGGUCAAUUUCAGAUUUUGUGUAAAGUCAAAAUAAUAGCCUGAGUAUUCAAUAUAUGUGUUAUCAAAUUACGUUCACCUUAUCCUAAGUUCCAAAGAAGUGAAUUUUUCACUUUCAUACACUAGGUAGAGGCAUAGUAAAAAAACAACUUUGUUAUUUUUCUCUUAAAUCUACUUUGCAGGAUCAAUUUCAUUUGUUUAAUAUCCCAUUGUGUAAAUAUU
rnacentral:lncRNA from 1 species